AUUGAACGAGGGGGGGAGGAAGAACACAUGCAAGUCGAGCGGAUGAAGCGAGCUUGCUCCUGGAUUCAGCUGCGGACGGGUGGGUAAUGCCUAGGAAUCUGCCUUGUAUUUGGGGAUAACGUCCGUAAACGGGCGCUAAUACCGCAUACGUCCUUAGGGUGAAAGUGGGGGAUCUUCGGACCUCACGCUAUCAGAUGACCCUAGGUCGGAUUAGCUAGUUGGUUGGGUAAAGGCCUACCAAGGCGACGAUCCGUAACUGGUCUGAGAGGAUGAUCAGUCACACUGGAACUGAGACACGGUCCAGACUCCUACGGGAGGCAGCAGUAGGGAAUCUUGGACAAUGGGCGAAGGCCUGAUGCAGCCAUGCCGCGUGUGUGAAGAAGGUCUUCGGAUUGUAAAGCACUUUAAGUUGGGAGGAAGGGAAGUAAGUUAAUACAUUGCUGUUUUGACGUUACCAACAGAAUAAGCACCGGCUAACUUCGUG
rnacentral:rRNA from 1 species